GACGAACGCUGGCGGCGUGCUUAACACAUGCAAGUCGAACGGUGAAGCGCCUUCCUUUUUGGUGGGUGUGGAUGAGUGGCGAACGGGUGAGUAACACGUGAGUAACCUGCCCCCUUCUUCUGGAUAACCGCAUGAAAGUGUGGCUAAUACGGGAUAUUCUGGGUCUGUCGCAUGAUGGGUCUGGGAAAGAUAUUGUUUCGGUGGGGGAUGGGCUCGCGGCCUAUCAGCUUGUUGGUGGGGUGAUGGCCUACCAAGGCGGUGACGGGUGGCCGGCCUGAGAGGGUGGCCGGCCACACUGGGACUGAGACACGGCUCAGACUGCGACGGGGGGCAGCAGUGGGGAAUAUGGCACAGUGGGGGCAAGCCUGAUGCAGCGACGCGGCGGGAGGGAUGGAGGCCUUCGGGUUGUGAACCUCUUUCGCCAGUGAAGCAGGCCUGCCUCGUUUGUGGGUGGGUUGACGGUAGCUGGAGAAGAAGCGCCGGCUAACUACGUG
rnacentral:rRNA from 1 species